UCAAGCGUAGAAGUAGAAGUAGUUUUGAACUAGUGAAAGUCUGUUCUGAAAAGAGAAGCUCUUUAAAGAGCAGAAGUAUAGAAGCUAUAAAUAUAUCAUGAAACAGGCAGCACAACCACGUAGCAUUUUGAAUUACUAAACGGAGAAAGAUGAAGAAGAAGAGAAUGAGAAACAAGAAAAACAUUUCAGUUAAAGCUCAUAAGAAAAGGAAACAUGGUAUUAGGGAUAGGGAAAAAGUAGCACAAAACGUGAGUCCAGUUGUUGAGAAGUAUUGGUUUCAAAGGUACAAUCUCUUCUCCAAAUACGACGAGGGUAUCAAAAUGGAUGAGGAAGGAUGGUAUUCCGUUACGCCCGAACAGAUUGCGAUUCGACACGCACUGAGGUGUGUCACUGCCACUGCCAAACCCAAUCCGGUUGUUAUCGAUUGCUUUGCUGGGGUUGGUGGCAAUGCCAUUCAGUUUGCUAGAAUGUGCUGUUCUGUUGUUGCCAUUGACAUUGAUCCUAAAAAACUUGAAUUGGCCAUUAACAAUGCCAAAAUUUAUGGGGUCCAACAUUGUAUCGAUUUCAUAGUUGGGGACUUCUUCCAACUCGCCCCGUCGUUGAAGGGGGACAUAGUGUUUUUAGCACCACCAUGGGGAGGUCCAUCAUACAAAAGUAUUGAAAAUUUUACACUUGAUUUUCUCAAGCCAAGAAAUGGCUUCACCAUAUUUCAAUUUGCUCAAACAAUAACACCUAACAUCAUUAUGUUCUUACCUCGGAAUGUGGACUUGCAACAAGUGGAAGAACUUUCUUGGUUGUCUUCUCCUCCUCUAGAAGUUGAGAUUGAAGAAAAUUUUUUGCAAAACAAUGUAAAGGGUGUAACCGCGUACUUUGGAGGUGCAGCAUGCCAUUAACUUGGGUUUGAAUUUUGUAAUCAGCUUCUCCAAUGGAUUGAGAGUAAGGCUACUUAGCAUGAUCUCUCCCAAACCCCCCAACCCUGAAAAAGUGGGAGUUAUGAUGGAAUAUGGAGGAUAAUUUUUAAGGGCUGAAUUGGGGGAUAAUUUUUAAGGCCUUCAAGGCAGCAAUUCAAGCUCAUGAUGAGAGGAUGGCUCGUGGAUUUCGGGAGGUUUGCAAAUUUAAGUUGUUCUCUAUGCGUGUACUUUGAACUUAUGUUUGGUUAAAGUUGUUUUUUAGGCCGUUCAUGGUGUUGUGUGGUGAUUGAUGAAAUCUUGGGAAAUUGCUGUCAUUUGAAAAGAUUUUGCAUUUGUCUA